ensembl:lncRNA
CCCUAGUCCACACAGGCCCCGAAGGAGCUGCAAAGAGAGAGAAGCACAUGCCACAUCAGGCAGGUCUGUUUUGGCGGGGUCCAGCGCCGCUGCCUCUCGCUUCUUAGGGGUAUCCCUGCUUUCCGAACAGACUCUUGCAAAAGAGUCAUCUUUCCCAAGAUUUUUUGUUUUGUUUUGUUUUUCCUACCACCGAUUUUUUAAGCCCUCCCGAGGCUUUUGCGCCCUAAAAUUUGCUUGGGGGGGCUGGCGAGGAGCAGAGAGGCAUCUCAGAAACGGAGGCGGCGGCGGCAGCAGCAGCAGAGCACCGCUCCCGGGGGACACUUUUACUUUGCCCUCAAAGUAUCUCUCAGCAAUGAGAGCGUCUGAAUCCCCCACCCCCCCUCCUGCACUACAGCAGAAUGCUGGGGUGUUUGCUGCAAGAUUCCCAGUCCCACUGACAUCAAAAUAGGAUCCCAUCGAGAUUUAAUUUACGAAGGUACCUCUAAUGCUGGUCAAUACUACCUUAGAAGAGAAACAUUUACAAUCCUUUGCCUCUCCACAACUGUGCAAAAAUGUUCUUCAUGGACCUUAAAUCGUUUAUGAAAGACUACAAAAAAAUGUGUUGUUUUUUGUUUGUUUUUGUUGAUGGUAGC